rnacentral:rRNA from 1 species
GAUUCUUGGUCAUUUAGAGGAAGUAAAAGUCGUAACAAGGUUUCCGUAGGUGAACCUGCGGAAGGAUCAUUACAGAGAACUUGCCCUUUGGGGUAGAUCUCCCACCCUUUGUUUACCAUACUUUGUUGCUUUGGCAGGCCCGCCUUCGGGCCGCCGGCUUCGGCUGGUCAGCGCCUGCCAGAGGAUCUCAAACUCUUGAUUUAGUGUUGUCUGAGUACUUGAUAAUAGUUAAAACUUUCAACAACGGAUCUCUUGGUUCUGGCAUCGAUGAAGAACGCAGCGAAAUGCGAUAAGUAAUGUGAAUUGCAGAAUUCAGUGAAUCAUCGAAUCUUUGAACGCAUCUUGCGCUCCUUGGUACUCCGAGGAGCAUGCCUGUUUGAGUGUCAUUUAGCUCUCAACCACACCUGUUGAUAAAAUAGGCGUGGCUUUUGGAUGUGGGGGUUUUAUUUUGCAGGCUUAGACAAGUCAGCUCCCCUGAAAUGCAUUAGUAGUAUCUAGGCUACUAGUAGGUGUGAUAAUUUAUCUAUGCCUUUUAGUGUAACAACAGAUUACACUGCUUCUAACCAAAAUAAUGACAAACUUGACCUCAAAUCAGGUAGGACUACCCGCUGAACUUAAGCAUAUCAAUAAGCGGAGGAAAUCACUAGNGAAUUU